GUUUGUUGCACCAGAAGUAGGUAGUCUAACCGCAAGGAGGACGCUUACCACGGUGUGGCAGAUGACUGGGGUGAAGUCGUAACAAGGUAGCCGUAGGGGAACCUGCGGCUGGAUCACCUCCUUA
rnacentral:rRNA from 1 species